rnacentral:rRNA from 1 species
UACACACCGCCCGUCACACCAUGGGAGUCAGUUGCUCCAGAAACGGCUGCGCUAACCCGCAAGGGGGCAGGUCUUAAGGAGUGACUGGUAACUGGGUG